CGGUGUUUAACUGGCGUGAUGUGGGACGUCCUACCGGUGGGCUUAGCCUCGCGAGGGGCGGCCCAACUAAUAUCCCGUCGCGGUGCUCUUUACUGAGUGUCGAGUCGGGCCGGUACGUUUACUUUGAACAAAUUAGAGUGCUUAAAGCAGGCUAUCCUCGCCUGAAUACUGCGUGCAUGGAAUAAUGGAAUAGGACCUCGGUUCUAUUUUGUUGGUUUUCGGAACCCCGAGGUAAUGAUUAAUAGGGACAUAUGGGGGCAUUCGUAUUGCGACGUUAGAGGUGAAAUUCUUGGAUCGUCGCAAGACGGACAGAAGCGAAAGCAUUUGCCAAAAAUGUUUUCAUUAAUCAAGAACGAAAGUUAGAGGUUCGAAGGCGAUCAGAUACCGCCCUAGUUCUAACCAUAAACGAUGCCAGCUAGCGAUCCGCCGAAGUUCCUCCGAUGACUCGGCGGGCAGCUUCCGGGAAACCAAAGCUUUUGGGUUCCGGGGGAAGUAUGGUUGCAAAGCUGAAACUUAAAGGAAUUGACGGAAGGGCACCACCAGGAGUGGAGCCUGCGGCUUAAUUUGACUCAACACGGGAAACCUCACCAGGCCCAGACACCGGAAGGAUUGACAGAUUGAUAGCUCUUUCUUGAUUCGGUGGGUGGUGGUGCAUGGCCGUUCUUAGUUGGUGGAGCGAUUUGUCUGGUUAAUUCCGAUAACGAACGAGACUCUAGCCUGCUAAAUAGGCGUACCUUAUGGUAUCGCGAAGGCCCCCGGCUUCGGCCGGUGGGUUUUUACUACCAACGUACAAACAAAUCUUCUUAGAGGGACAGGCGG
rnacentral:rRNA from 1 species